AUGAACGCUAGCUACAGGCUUAACACAUGCAAGUCGAGGGGCAGCAUGAACUUAGCUUGCUAAGUUUGAUGGCGACCGGCGCACGGGUGAGUAACACGUAUCCAACCUGCCGAUGACUCGGGGAUAGCCUUUCGAAAGAAAGAUUAAUACCCGAUGGCAUAGUUCUUCCGCAUGGUAGAACUAUUAAAGAAUUUCGGUCAUCGAUGGGGAUGCGUUCCAUUAGGUUGUUGGCGGGGUAACGGCCCACCAAGCCUUCGAUGGAUAGGGGUUCUGAGAGGAAGGUCCCCCACAUUGGAACUGAGACACGGUCCAAACUCCUACGGGAGGCAGCAGUGAGGAAUAUUGGUCAAUGGACGAGAGUCUGAACCAGCCAAGUAGCGUGAAGGAUGACUGCCCUAUGGGUUGUAAACUUCUUUUAUACGGGAAUAAAGUGAGGCACGUGUGCCUUUUUGUAUGUACCGUAUGAAUAAGGAUCGGCUAACUCCGUGCCAGCAGCCGCGGUAAUACGGAGGAUCCGAGCGUUAUCCGGAUUUAUUGGGUUUAAAGGGAGCGUAGGCGGACGCUUAAGUCAGUUGUGAAAGUUUGCGGCUCAACCGUAAAAUUGCAGUUGAUACUGGGUGUCUUGAGUACAGUAGAGGCAGGCGGAAUUCGUGGUGUAGCGGUGAAAUGCUUAGAUAUCACGAAGAACUCCGAUUGCGAAGGCAGCUUGCUGGACUGUAACUGACGCUGAUGCUCGAAAGUGUGGGUAUCAAACAGGAUUAGAUACCCUGGUAGUCCACACAGUAAACGAUGAAUACUCGCUGUUUGCGAUAUACAGUAAGCGGCCAAGCGAAAGCGUUAAGUAUUCCACCUGGGGAGUACGCCGGCAACGGUGAAACUCAAAGGAAUUGACGGGGGCCCGCACAAGCAGUGGAGUAUGUGGUUUAAUUCGACGCAACGCGAAGAACCUUACCAAGUCUUGACAUCCUGCGACGCACAUAGAAAUAUGUGUUUCCUUCGGGACGCAGAGACAGGUGGUGCAUGGUUGUCGUCAGCUCGUGCCGUGAGGUGUCGGCUUAAGUGCCAUAACGAGCGCAACCCUUAUCGAUAGUUACCAUCAGGUGAUGCUGGGGACUCUGUCGAGACUGCCGUCGUAAGAUGUGAGGAAGGUGGGGAUGACGUCAAAUCAGCACGGCCCUUACGUCCGGGGCUACACACGUGUUACAAUGGGGGGUACAGAAGGCAGCUACACGGCGACGUGAUGCUAAUCCCUAAAGCCUCUCUCAGUUCGGAUUGGAGUCUGCAACCCGACUCCAUGAAGCUGGAUUCGCUAGUAAUCGCGCAUCAGCCACGGCGCGGUGAAUACGUUCCCGGGCCUUGUACACACCGCCCGUCAAGCCAUGAAAGCCGGGGGUACCUGAAGUGCGUAACCGCAAGGAGCGCCCUAGGGUAAAACUGGUGAUUGGGGCU
rnacentral:rRNA from 1 species